UACGUAGGGGGCUAGCGUUGCCCGGAUUUAUUGGGCGUAAAGGGCGCGUAGGCGGCUCGGCACGUCCGUUGUGAAAUCGCCCGGCUCAACUGGGCGGGGUCAGCGGAUACGGUCGAGCUUGAGCAAGCUAGGGGGCAAUGGAAUUCCCGGUGUAGUGGUGGAAUGCGCAGAUAUCGGGAAGAACACCCGUGGCGAAGGCGGCUCUCUGGGACGGUACUGACGCUGAGACGCGAAAGCGUGGGGAGCGAACAGG
rnacentral:rRNA from 1 species